CAGGGAGUGCCUUUCGGGGAACUCGGAGACAGGUGCUGCAUGGCUGUCGUCAGCUCGUGUCGUGAGAUGUUGGGUUAAGUCCCGCAACGAGCGCAACCCUUGUCUUUAAUUGCCAGCAUUCAGUUGGGCACUUUAAAGAGACUGCCGGUGUUAAGCCGGAGGAAGGUGGGGAUGACGUCAAGUCCUCAUGGCCUUUAUGCCCAGGGCUACACACGUGCUACAAUGGGUGGUACAAAGAGAUGCCAACUCGCGAGAGCGCGCCAAUCUCAGAAAGCCAUCCUCAGUUCGGAUUGGAGUCUGCAACUCGACUCCAUGAAGUUGGAAUCGCUAGUAAUCGCGGAUCAGCACGCCGCGGUGAAUACGUUCCCGGGCCUU
rnacentral:rRNA from 1 species